GCCGCGAAUUCGCGGCGCCGAGCGGGGGCAAUAAGGUGGUGCGGAUGCCUGGUCGUUUGCUCUUUGGCCUGGGCCUGUGGUUCGCUCUAUGCGGCCCGCCCGUUCCAAGUUGCGUAGCGUGUAUGGGGCGCCCUGGCGAAAGCUAGAGCGUCCCUGCACCUAGAGUGGCGGGUAUUGCGUGAGGCUGGUUUCACAGAGCAGCGAGUACCGCCCGCUUCCAACGGUGGAAGGAUUACGGGCCGCUGCAGCCCUGGCCCGCUUCCGGCCCAUGUGCCUUCCAUGGCAGACCCCCAUCUUU
rnacentral:SRP_RNA from 2 species